rnacentral:lncRNA from 1 species
GCACUUACUAUUAUUUCCAUCAUAGGAGAAGUCACCAUAGAAGAAGUCAUCAUAGAACUUCGAAUAAUUGGACAACUAGGGCUAACAGUAUUAGAAUGUUAUUCUACAAACAUAGCCUCAAAACUAUUUACACCAUAGGACUUAAGAAAGGCGAGAAAGAUUCAGGAGUAUUGCCCCCUUGAGUUAAAAGCCCAUUAAAAUACCCAAACAUUGG